rnacentral:tRNA from 1 species
AAAAAGUUAGUUAAAAAUUAAUAACCUAAAUUUGUCAAAUUUAAAUUAUAAAGUCUAUACUUUUUU